GUUAAAAAGUGGCUGACGUCUAAUUUCAAGAGUGGCUGGUGCAAAAUGUACACUACUAUAACAAACAUAAUUUAAUUAUUAAUGUCAAUAAAUUUGAACAAAUAUGCUCAAGCAUUAAUUAAAUAUGAUACAGUACAUGUAUGCAGGGAUGGAUCCAGCAUGAUCUGGUAGGGGGGUGCUCUGGUGCCAACUGCUGAGUUGUGUCUGUCAUGUGUGCCGCCCACCCAUCAACUGCUGUAUUUGAAUUGUAAUUGUUCACAGUUCACUUAUCAUCAUGUUAUUACUCAAAUUAUUGUAUCUCAUUUUGUCUUUUUUGCUUUAUCAUAAAAAAUAGCACCCUCCUGCACCCCCUCUGGCCAGGGCUAGGGGGUACACACCCCACACCCUCCCAGUAAAUCCAUCCCUGCAUGUAUGUGCACUUUCUAUAUUGUGCUCAGGUAUUUGGUGGAGCAUGUUGUUGGCCACGUUGAGGGAUCACAGCUCAAUUUGUAUUCACCAAUAACUUUCAAAAAGACAUCAUAAAGGACAAGAGAUACUAUAAUCUAUACUAGUAAUCCAUGCUAAAAUGCCUUCUUUCUUCAAAAUCGUCAGUUGGCCCUGCCC